rnacentral:rRNA from 1 species
UACGUAGGGGGCAAGCGUUGUCCGGAAUUAUUGGGCGUAAAGAGCGUGUAGGCGGUCCGGUAAGUCAGCUGUGAAAGUCAAGGGCUCAACCCUUGAAUGCCGGUUGAUACUGUCGGGCUAGAGUCCGGAAGAGGCGAGUGGAAUUCCCGGUGUAGCGGUGAAAUGCGCAGAUAUCGGGAGGAACACCAAUGGCGAAGGCAGCUCGCUGGGACGGUACUGACGCUGAGACGCGAAAACGUGGGGAGCAAACAGG